UUAAAACCCAUAUUUUGAGAGCAGCUUGUGCUAAUGCAUCUAUGCAUUGUGGAACCUUUUAUAAUGUACAGAGAAAAUAAAAGAUGUGUUAAUUAUCAGCUUAUAUGUGAUCACAAGAAUCAGAUAUAGUCCCAGCCUGGGCUAAGAGUAUAUUUGACUAAGAUGGUCUGGGCCCAGCCAGACACCAGUAUAUCUACCUCUCUGGGGGACAGGUAGAUGGGACAUUUUACCAUAGUUUUUAAAGCACCGCUUUAAGCGUCGCUUUAAUAGCUUAAAGCAGAAAAGAGCUUCAUGAGCGCUUUUCCCAUCGCUUUUUUCUAGUGGGAUAGUGGGUCGGGUCGGAUUGGCGGCUCGGGUCUUUGGGAUUUACAUGAAGCUUGAACUAAAUGAAGCACUUCAGAAGAAAAAUGAGGCCAUCGAAACAGUGAAGAAGGUAUCAGAAGAUGUUGCAGGGUUAAGGAUGUUGCUGAGAUGAAAAUGUCCGGAUUGGAAAAGAAGCAACGGCCUCGCGUAGAAGCUAAUGAGCUCAGUGAGUUUGUAAAUUGCAAACUGGAUGUUAUAAAUGUUCAUCUAUGUGUAAUAACAGGGGUAUAUAAUUGAAAAAAUAUAUAUUUAUAGGAUUUGAAAAAAAAAUACAGGGAUAUAUAUGCAAUUUUCGAAAAAAUUGCAUAUAUUUACGAAAUUGCCAUUAUCAUUUUUUAGCUUUAAGCGCGCUAAAGCACUCAAAGCUAAAAAAGCACUCCCUGGAAAAUGGGAGCGCUUUACCGCUUUUAAAACUAUGAAAAGAGGUAAGUGUAUUUUUAUUAAAUUUCUCUCUCUAGUUCAAGGUCGCUCACUUGGUAGUUAAAUGGUAAAAUCCUUUUUGUAAUUUGUCCUCAACCGCAGUUUCCCCCACAAGAUGUAACUCUCUUUCGAUCAGUUCUGAUGCAUGGUCUAGUAAGUUAUCUCUAUCCGGACCAAUUGUGAUCUUUGCUUGAGUAAACUCUGUGUUCCAAGCAUGGUAUUCAGAAUCCUCAAUUGUACUAUAAGCAAGUGCUAAUGUACGAAGUCCUGUUUCUCCAAACUCAUUUAAUUGCUUUGUAGUUUCCUCCAAAU
rnacentral:lncRNA from 1 species